rnacentral:rRNA from 1 species
GACGAACGCUGGCGGCGUGCUUAACACAUGCAAGUCGAACGAUGAAGCUGGAGCUUGCUCCGGUGGAUUAGUGGCGAACGGGUGAGUAACACGUGAGUAAUCUGCCCUUGACUCUGGGAUAACUGCGGGAAACUGUAGCUAAUACCGGACACGACACCUUCGGGCAUCCGAUGGGUGUGGAAAGAAUUUCGGUCAAGGAUGAACUCGCGGCCUAUCAGCUAGUUGGUGAGGUAAUGGCUCACCAAGGCGACGACGGGUAGCCGGCCUGAGAGGGUGACCGGCCACACUGGGACUGAGACACGGCCCAGACUCCUACGGGAGGCAGCAGUGGGGAAUAUUGCACAAUGGGCGAAAGCCUGAUGCAGCAACGCCGCGUGAGGGAUGAAGGCCUUCGGGUUGUAAACCUCUUUUAGUUGGGAAGAAGCGAAAGUGACGGUACCAACAGAAAUAGCACCGGCUAACUACGUGCCAGCCGCCGCCGUAA